UGCCAAGAGAAAACUUGUCACAGUUGCCUGGU
rnacentral:piRNA from 1 species